UCCCUGGUGGCUCAGACGGUAAAGCGUCUGCCUGCCAUGCAGGAGACCCGGGUUCGAUCCCUGGGUCGGGAA
rnacentral:tRNA from 1 species